rnacentral:rRNA from 1 species
GAUGAACGCUGGCGGCGUGCCUAAUACAUGCAAGUCGAGCGAACGGACGAGAAGCUUGCUUCUCUGAUGUUAGCGGCGGACGGGUGAGUAACACGUGGAUAACCUACCUAUAAGACUGGGAUAACUUCGGGAAACCGGAGCUAAUACCGGAUAAUAUUUUGAACCGCAUGGUUCAAAAGUGAAAGACGGUCUUGCUGUCACUUAUAGAUGGAUCCGCGCUGCAUUAGCUAGUUGGUAAGGCAACGGCUUACCAAGGCAACGAUGCAUAGCCGACCUGAGAGGGUGAUCGGCCACACUGGAACUGAGACACGGUCCAGACUCCUACGGGAGGCAGCAGUAGGGAAUCUUCCGCAAUGGACGAAAGCCUGACGGAGCAACGCCGCGUGAGUGAUGAAGGUCUUCGGAUCGUAAAACUCUGUUAUUAGGGAAGAACAUAUGUGUAAGUAACUGUGCACAUCUUGACGGUACCUAAUCAGAAAGCCACGGCUAACUACGUG